rnacentral:rRNA from 1 species
UACGUAGGGUGCAAGCGUUAAUCGGAAUUACUGGGCGUAAAGCGUGCGCAGGCGGUUAUGUAAGACAGAUGUGAAAUCCCCGGGCUCAACCUGGGAACUGCAUUUGUGACUGCAUAGCUAGAGUACGGUAGAGGGGGAUGGAAUUCCACGUGUAGCAGUGAAAUGCGUAGAGAUGUGGAGGAACACCGAUGGCGAAGGCAGCCCCCCUGGGCCUGUACUGACGCUCAUGCACGAAAGCGUGGGGAGCAAACAGG